CUGGAGACCGCCAGAGAACACAAAGAGGAGCAGAGAAGCCUGAGAUAUCCACAGAUCUACAAACGCCAAGCCCAAACUCUUGUUCCGAAUCAUUCUUGUUCCGACCAAACGCCACGCGCUUACAAAUCAUUCUUGUUCCGACCAAACUCUUGUGUUGUGCUUGUGUCACGAAAUUAAUCACUGAAAUUCCAAUCAAGUAGGAUAUGUCAUAUAUUAUCCUCUGUGUUAGUGAAAGCGAAUGCGUGAGCCGUGAGGAUGAGAUAUCCAUACAUAAUGAAUGACGGAGUUUAGAGUAGCAUGCCGAUUUCUUACCGGGAAUUGUAAUCGCAGCGACUGUUUGGCGAAACAUUUCAUUUCAUAUAGGGAUACAACUCAAUGACACAUCUAAAAAGUUUGAGAAGAAGUUUGCUUCUGGAGCUUCAGUUGUUCAGGUUUGUAGAAGAUACUACUGCGUGGCUUGCUAGGCUUGUUAUUUCAAAUAACUUAUUUGUGAGACAAAGGCCAUCCCCCCGUACUUCACAAAACAAAAUGGUUGGCAUUCUUGAAUACUGCAUGGCCUGCUAAGCUUCAAGCGCACAGUACGUACAUGUUCUUCUAUAUAUCCGUUUCCAUCUGCACUUGGCAAAGCCAAAAAAGCUAUAAAGACACUGAAAGAGCUACCAAUAAAUUUAAAUAUACAUACUUUAGCAACAAAGGAAGAGUUCUAAGUAUAUAUUAUUAUAAAAACAAACGAGCAUAUAUUAUCUGAAAAUGAUUAGUUGAAAUGUUUUAUAUAUAGAUGAACAUUUUUGCCAUGACGUGUGAAAAAAUUAGAGGAUUAUGUUAACACAAUGAUUAUUUGAUUGUUACAAAUGUUUUGAUAUUGAAAAAUGGGAUAUAGCGUUUAUGUUGAUUAGAGAAACAUAGAAAGAAACUGUUUCUAGGACACAUAUUUGAAAACUAUCAUGUGAAGAAGAUCAAAAUAAUUAAUUUCUAUAACCAAUACAGCAAAAUAUCAUACAUAUUUCUAAAAUCUACUAAAUAAUGUUAGAGAAAAUACUUUUUAAAUAUCUUGAUUGGGUGAUAUAUAUACUCCUUCUAUUUUAAUAUAGUAUUGAUGGUAUACGUCCUAUUUUAAUACAAAAUGUUUUAGAGAUUUUUUCUUUCACUUUACCUAUUUGCUAUAUUUGUAUUCUAUACUAGUUUUAUAUUUUGGUUGUUUAAUCAAUAACUUAUUCGUUUUUUAAUUUACGUCUAGUUCUUUUGCCCAAAAAAAAACUUUUCUAAUAAAUUUAAACGAAGGAAUUAUAAGAUAAAUAAGAAGAGGUGAUGUGUUCUUCUAAUUGGAUAGGAACAGGAUAAAUGAAAUGCUGACCAGAAGAAGAAGUGGUGUGUUCUUUAAACUGAUAAGAAUAGGAUAGGAAGAUGUGUUGUGUUCUUUUAAUUGGAUGAGACAUGCAGACCACUAAAGCAACUAAUUGUAUACGAUAAUACGAACUUUAUGAACUACGUCAAAUAAUCGACAAAAUUAUUAAUCAUAAAUAUGUUAAAAAGGAUUAUCACAACAAAUACCAGAAAUCAGUUGUUUGAAGUCCAAGACCGAAUGAUAUAUGGAAUCCUCGGGAUCUAUGAGUUUAUGGUCUAACAACAACAAGAAGUCACAACAACAAAAAUUGCCAUAUGGUUUAGGCCAUCCAUCUAAUUUUUUUAUGUAUGUAGUUUAUCUUUUUAGCUUAAGUUUGAUUAAAAAUACAUAUAAGAAAACAAUAAUUAUUUCAUGAAUUAUGGUAACUUAAAAUUCUUUUAGCAAAACUAUCUUGGUUUAACGGCCGUUUUGGAAAUAAUUUGGGUUGAUACCUUUUCUUACAAACCCUGACUAAUGUUUUGACGAGUUGAGCGAUUGGAAGGCAAAUAAUCUCUAUAUCUUUCACCCACACAUACUCUCUCGUGAACAUUUCUAUGUUAAAUUAAUAAGAGCUAAAUAUAUUUAUGAUUCAUAUUACGAUUCUCACAUAUGAACAAGUAUAAAUGCAGAUCAAUGGUUGGAUUUAUAUGUGCCACCAAUCCAAGUUAAGAUGUGGGAAAAACGUGCUUCAAUUCGUAACCAUGCGUACACAUAAGACAUGAGUCACAUGACUACAUGUAGACCAGACAUUUAUAUAUACUUGUCUGUAUCCUACAAAGUAGCACUAUUCUUUCUCCAUUCAUCAAAAUUUAAGAACAGAGCAUGUAAGUAAUCUCAUAACUGCUGGGAUAUAUGCGGCCCAUUUCCAACUCUUUAUUAUUGUCCGACUAAUAUGAUAUUGUCCAGUUUAAGUUUAAAAAAGCAUGAAUUUACUUCUAAUGUAUGGCUUGGAUUGAUAUCUCUUAUUCUCCCGUUCAAGCCAAGGACCACACUCAUCUUGUGUCCUUUCCUUCAACAAAUCAUUUUGGCACCAUCUUGUACCUUUAAUCGUAAAGUUACUUUGAGUUACUUUGAAGAUGGUCCCCUCACAACUAAACUUCGAGAAACUUUUAACUUGAUUUCUGCCACAUAAUGGUUUCAUUCCUAUUUGGAGGUAUUUUGGUAUUUUUGCAGAUUUUCGUCAUCCCGCUAUGGUACCAAUUAUGGUGAUUUUUGCAGUCUAUGUCCAACUUUUUAUUAUUUGAUUAGUACAACUUUAUCCAAUUUAUACUUAAAAAGCAAGUCCGCAUAAAUAUACUUGGGAAAAUUAUUUUUUUAGAGCAAAAAAAUGAUAACUAUGUCCUUUUAGACUAAUAUAUAUUUUGUGCAAGUUUUGUCUAUAAUACCCUUUAAUAUUUUUGAAAAUAAAUUUAA